rnacentral:rRNA from 1 species
UACGUAGGGGGCAAGCGUUGUCCGGAUUUAUUGGGCGUAAAAGGCUUGUAGGUGGCCACGCCACGUCGGAUGUGAAAUCUCCCGGCUCAACUGGGAGGGGUCAUUCGAUACUGGCGGGCUCGAGGCCGGUAGGGGGAAGUGGAAUUCCCGGUGUAGUGGUGGAAUGCGUAGAUAUCGGGAGGAACACCAGUGGCGAAGGCGGCUUCCUGGACCGGUUCUGACACUGAGGAGCGAAAGCGUGGGGAGCGAGCCGG